rnacentral:lncRNA from 1 species
UAAUUUUUUUUUUUUAAUAUACAAUGAACUUUUAAAUAGAUGAAACACUGGAACUAUUUUAUGCAACAAACAAAAUCAUAAGUAUCAGUGUUUGUCAUUAAAGGUUAACGAAUGCUACCUGUCAGCAGCGCAUACCUGAAGCCACCGUCAACACAAAAAGGGGAGGAUCCGGACGUGACGCAUCCCAGGCUUCUUCUUCUUCUUCUUCUUUUCAUUUUUUGGCAGAUUGCAACCAUGACUUUUAAAGGUGCAUACCGCCACCUACUGUAUCAGAGUAUGUAACAUGAGCUGUUUGGUUUAGUACUACCAAACAAAAAAAAAAAAAACAAAAAAAACAAAAACAAGGUUAAGUUAAUGUUAAGAUAGAAUAAAUGUAUAUAUUUAUUUAAAAAUUUUGAAUUUGGAAAUAUUUUAUUUUCAAGUAAUUUGAUUUAAUUUGGUCAUAUGUUGAACAUUCUAAAACAAGUGGAACAUUUUUCACUCAUGCUAUUUUGUCCAAAGUAAACUAUGAUAGUCUAAAUGUUGAUGAGUUGGUUCUGUCUCUGUAGUUCCGCAUGAGUACAGGAGGCGACAGCGGACAUAAAGGUCCUGCAGUUUCUGCCCAAGAGGCUCAGAUGCAAGCCAUCAUGCAGCAGGCCAGGGUAAAAACACACACUUACACCAAUACACACUAUAUUUCUCUCUCUCUCUCACACACACACACACAUCUCUAUGCAAACUAAUUGCUCUGUGUCAUUAUUAUAUAGCUGGCGAUGAGGGGUCCAACCGGACCCAUGGGUUUGACGGGCCGUCCCGGUCCUCUGGUACGUCUGUAUAUCUGUUUUCAGUCUGUCAAAAUGAUGAUAUCUAUGAUAUUAUGAUGAAUCUGAUAUAUUUCAAGCUUGAUUUGAUUUUCCCAGGGUUCUCCUGGUGUGACUGGUAUGGACGGACAUCCUGGACCUAAAGGAAACAUUGGUCCUCAAGGUGAGCCAGGACCUCCAGGACAACAAGGCAACCCCGGAGCUCAGGGACUUCCAGGUCCUCAGGGAGCGAUCGGACCUCCAGGAGAGAAGGUGAGAUCACGUGUGGAUGAGCGAUGGAAGGAUGCUUUUCUGGUUAAUGGAUCAAUGCCCUUAUAUAGAGUUUGUGUGUGUGUGUGUGUGUGUGUGUAGUGUUCUGUUGAUAAUGUUUUAUGUCUUAUGACAAGACAUUUAUUCUUAGUGAUGAAGAUUAUAAUAUAUUUCAUAAGUACACUACUGUUCAAAAGGUUUAAGGUUAAGUUUUUUUUUAAAAUAAAUUAAUCAUUUUAAUAAUCAAGGAUGCAUGAAAUUGAUCAAGACAGUAAAGACAUUUACAUGAUACUGUAUAAUGUUACAAAAGGUGUGUUUGUCAAAUAAAUGCUGUUCUUUUCAACAUUCUACUCAUUAAAGAAUCCUGUGAAAAAUGUAUCAGGGUUUCCAAGAAAAAAAAAAAAAAAAAAAAAAAAACUAUUUACUAACUUUCUUUGAUAAUAAUAAGAAAUAUUUCUUGAGUGCCCAGCCUCCGGUGAGUCUGGAAAACACACACAUGCUUCACGUCUGAUCAUCUCAAGCUCUGUUGUUUGUGUAUCAGAGAGAUUUCAUUGUAUUAAUAAUUACAGUACAGUGACCUGCCUGGCAGUUCUUCACAGACACACAUUGUUCGCAUCUAUUCUCAAGGCCUAUUCUAUCCACAUUUCAUGGUUUUAUAUCUAAUUACUGCAGCAUAACAUGUCAUUUCUCUUAAUCUUUGUGUCACAAACACAGGGCCACCCAGGAAAAGAAGGGCCAUCCGGAGAGAAAGGACAUCUGGUAUGUUUAUCCUUCAUUCCUCUCCGAAGAGUUCAUUUACAGACAGUUCUCUUGUACAAAUGUAAUAACUCCAUCGAUAACUGACUGUGUUUUACAGGGACCUCCUGGUCCUCAGGGGCCGAUCGGAUAUCCUGGGCCUCGAGGUGUAAAGGCAGGUGUUUUUUAAUCCUCAUUGGUCAUAGCAGAACUCAUAACGUUCUCUCAUUGGUCAGUGGGUAUUGCAGUUCUGUAGUAGUAAGAUGUCAGUGAAAUGUCACCCAACUUAUUUUGCCUCUAGCUUUUUCCUCAUAAUGAAACGGAGACGGCACCCUGCCAGUGUUUCUGAAUCAUCUGAAAUUUAUAGCCAUCUUCCAAAAUGUCUAAAAGUUGCGUUCCUAGACAACAUUUUAGGCAUCAAAGACAACUUCUGAGAUACGUUCUUUUGGCCAAAAUAUAAGGCAGUGCAGGUAAUUUACCGAAGUGACACUUGAAUGUGAUGAGGAUACAUUUCUCAAUUAUUAUGUUACAUUAGAUGAGAUUAUUUUAAUAUAUUAUUUAUUGUUAGAAAUCAGUCAGAUUUUUUUUGUGUCCUGACCCAUUAAGUUCAAAAAGAAUUGGUUGUUAAACUGUUCUGCAACUGUACCAAAUAAAAAAGUCAUUGCUAGAUUGUUAGAUUUAAUUGUUCACUGAAGUUAUAUGAAGAUGAAAUUCUGAAUUAAAGUGAAAAAAAAAUGCGAUCAUAUAUAUAAAAAAAACUAAAUUAAAGCCUGAAUUAAAAAAAAAGAUUAUUAUAUUAUAUUAUAUUAUAUUAUAUUAUAUUAUAUUAUAUUAUAUUAUAUUAUAUUAUACUGGGCUGUCAAUAUAAUAUAGGGCUGUCAAAUCGAUUUAUUCAUAUUUACAGGUAUAUACAGUACGAUUUAU